AUUGAACGCUGGCGGCAUGCCUUACACAUGCAAGUCGAACGGCAGCACGGGGGCAACCCUGGUGGCGAGUGGCGAACGGGUGAGUAAUAUAUCGGAACGUACCCGGCAAUGGGGGAUAACGUAGCGAAAGUUACGCUAAUACAGCAUAUGCCCUGAGGGGGAAAGAGGGGGAUGGCAAGACCUCACGUUGUCGGAGAGGCCGAUAUCAGAUUAGCUAGUUGGUGGGGUAAAGGCCUACCAAGGCGACGAUCUGUAGCUGGUCUGAGAGGACGACCAGCCACACUGGGAGUGAGACACGGCCCAGACUCCUACGGGAGGCAGCAGUGGGGAAUUUUGGACAAUGGGGGCAACCCUGAUCCAGCCAUGCCGCGUGAGUGAAGAAGGCCUUCGGGUUGUAAAGCUCUUUCGGACGGAAAGAAAUCGCCAUUUCUAAUACAAGUGGUGGAUGACGGUACCGUCAUAAGAAGCACCGGCUAACUACGUGCCAGCAGCCGCGGUAAAAC
rnacentral:rRNA from 1 species